GACACCUGGCCCUGCCCUGCCCCUUCCAUGCUAUCUCUGCCUCAGAGCCAGCCUCACCAUGGACUGAACACUCCAGAACAUGAGCCAGAGUAAACCUCUUUUCCGUGCAGACAAACCUUAUGAUUUUCAAUGGAUGUGCUUGUGUAAGACCUUUAAAAACCAAGACCUGCGUGUUCUUCAUGAAAAUGUAAGAGUCCCUGACAUUUAGGGUAACAGAAGGAGUUGCUCUGAUAUUCUUUGCUAAAUUUACAAGAUUUGGCUGAAACCCCAAGCGUCUGUCCUAUCACAGUAGUGAACGAUCCACUUGAAUGUCGGACCACCAUCCUGUAUAGCACCACAUGGAAAGCAGAAGAAAAGAACUUGGGCAUUCCUGAAACAGUGCUGCAGGUUUGAAGUUUGGGCUCCAUUUGACAAAGAAGCACAAGGCAGUGGGAAGGAGCCCUACACCAACUGAUCGGAUCAAUAUGUGGGAUGUGUUGAACCAUACGGAAUUCUUGGGCGAGGCCAUAACCUCCCGCCACCAAGGAAACAUGUCAUCCAUCCCCAUCACAUUCACCACCAUUUUCGAGGACUGCAUGGAUUUCCAAGGGGAGUUUGUGGAGCAUCAUUAAAACAAAACCGCUGAUUGCUA